UCACAAAUUAGUGAGGGAGCUUUUUUUAAGUUGUAGUCUCAAUCUAGUUAGACAGCACUUUAUUGGUAAUAACUAUAUUAAACAGUAGUUAU
rnacentral:sRNA from 1 species